AUCGCUUCUCGGCCUUUUGGCUAAGAUCAAAGUGUAGUAUCUGUUCUUUACGGCUUAAUCUCCGUAACGACCCCUACCGGGGUCAAAAGAGAUUAACCAAUUUUGCUGAGCAAAUAAACUUCCAAAAAUUUGUACACACUGCCAAAAAUAUUUUUAAAAAUCUGAAAUAUUUUUUUUAAUUUUUAGAAAUCGU
rnacentral:snRNA from 1 species